AUGACGAAGGGAACGUCAUUCUUUGGAAAGCGAAAUAAGACAUACACGUUGUGCUGCCACUAUGGCUCUAAGGCCUUCCACCUUCAAAAGUCGACUUGUAGCAAAUGUGGCUACCCCACCAAGCAUAAGAAAAAGUAUAACUGGAGUGCAAAGGCUAAAAUGCAAAAUACCACCGGAAGUGGAGCACCUGCUGUGCCUGGAAACACAGAAACCUGCAUUGGUAAGAAGACUGAAGAUUUUAAAGUUGGAAAUCUGCUUGGUUCUCUAAGAAUCACUUGCUGAUGGCUACAGAGCUGAGUCCAUUCAUAUUGGCUUGGAAGUUGCAAUAAAAAUGCUUUAAAACUAUUUUGAAGAUAACAAUUGUCUACCUGGUGUUAAAAAUGCAUCAUAAUGGAUAAAUGAACAAGUAUCUAAAGAACAGAAUGAAGCCUUUCUCUGAAAAUGAAGCUCGACAUUUCAUGCACCAGAUCAUCACAGGAUUAUUGUAUCUUCAUUCCCAUGGUAUACUACACCAGGACCUCACACUUUCUAAUCUUUUAUUUAAUCAUAAUAUGAAUAUCAAGAUUGCUAAUUCUGGGCUGGCAACUCAGUUGCAAAUGCCACAUGAAAAGCACUAUACAUUAUGUGGUACUCCUAAUUACAUUUCACCAGAAAUUGCAACUCGAAGUGCACAUGGACUUGAAUCAGAUAUUUGGUCCUUGGGCUGUCUGUAUUAUUCAUUACUCAUUGAAAGACCACCUUUCCUUUUUUACCGCUACAGUCACCUACAUGAGUACACUCACAACAGUGUAACCCCAAAUGGAGAUUUCCAGGACCAUCUAGAUUUCCAAGGUGCAUCAAGAAACACCUGGGCAGAUACAAGAGCAAGAAAAGGCUCUAAUGCUUCUGAUAAGGCACAUUUUUGAAAAACAGCUGAAUACCAUAAAAUAUGUGACUGGACCUCACGGUAAACCUGAGAUAAUUCAUUAAGAACCUACUUUUGGAUCAGAUCUUCUUUAGGAACAAAGCAAGACUAGGGGUAUGGAGUCAACAUUUAGGCAUCAGAAACAUUUGUUACACAGCAUUAUACCUCCUUUGGUUGCUCACAGGUUAAAACCAAUCAGACAGAAAGCCAAAAAGACAGUGGUGAGCAUACUCAAUACGGAGCAAGUAUAUGUGGAGCUUCUAAUGAAGCACACAUCUUAAGAAUAUGCAAAACAAGUUCUUCGACUAUCUAGUGAUGGGAAUGUGAUCACUGUUUAUUAUCCAAAUGAUGGAAAAGCCUUUCCUCUUACUGAUCGACCACCCUCAACUAAUAACAAUAUCACUAGGUAUAAGUUUGACUAUUUACCAGAAAAAUACUGGAAAAAAAUACCAGUAUGCUUCGAGAUUUAUACAUCUCAUAAGAUCUACAUCUCCAAAAAUGACCUAUUUGACAAGAUAUACUAAGUGUAUUUUGAUGGAGAAUUCUCCUAAUGCUGAUUUUGAAGUUUGGUUUUAGGAUGUAGCAGAAAAGACACAAAACAGAAAAUUCUAUUCAAGUGAUUGAAAAGACCAGAAAAAUCUAUAAAAUAAAAUAUGAAAGUGAAGUCAAUAGCCUGAAAGAGAAAACAAAAAUGUACAUGGACCAUGCUUAUGAUGGUCAUUGUAUUUGUUUAGCACUGGAAUUUAUAAUUUCAGAAGAGGAAAAGAAAAGUAGAAGUGCGCCCUUUUUUCCCAUAAUUGUAGGAAGAAAACCUGGCUGUACUCACUCACUUAAGGCUUUACCAGCUUUUCCUGUGGAUCUAAAUGGCUCUAUGAGAGAUGGACCACCAUUGAAUAAAUUGGUCUUCAGUAGUGCUGUCUCUCGCACACAGGCACCAGUCCUUAUCUUUCUGUAGUUACAUCAGAAAGACUUGGUUAUAUCACUACACCCACAGAAACAAACAUCCCUUCUAACAUUCCAAAAGUCUGUUUACCUAAAUAGGCACAACUUUUGAAAUCUCUUUUUGUGAAAAAUGUUGGUUGGGCUACACAGUUAACUAGUGGAGCUGUGUGGGCUCAGUUUAAUGAUGGGUCACAGCUGGUAGUCCAGGCAGGAGUGUCUUCUAUCAGUGACACAUCACCAAAUGGUCAACAUAACCAAGUGUGGAGAACAGGAAAAGUUAUAAGUAUACAUCAAAAAGAAAUUACAGUGUGUUUGUUGUAUCCUUUCAAUGUUUUAUAAUCCAACUCCUACUUUUCAUUGA